CGGGGGAGGCGGGAUCCUGGGCUGUGUCCCGGCGCCUGCGCUGGUGGAUUCGCGCUCCCGGGCCGUGCAGCCCCCU
rnacentral:pre_miRNA from 1 species